UGUAAAAAUUAGCCAAAUCCUAGCAAUAGGAACGGAGGACCCGACUUUUUUUGGGGUGAAUCCUGCAUUUUGUGGGUAGGGUUUAUUCCUUUCGACCCGAACCCGUCAGCUAACUUCGUAGGCUAAAAGGAAAGGGAGG
rnacentral:sRNA from 2 species